CCUGCCCCUAGAGUCCCUGUAGGUGUGGCUGCUGGGUCUCAUUUGCAUCAGUAGAUGGCAGAGAGGAAAGAGGCUACAUCUACCCUCAGUGCUCUGACCUGUGAGCAUCGGAAUGAUUAGUAGAUUCCCUGG